GAUGAACGCUAGCGGCAGGCUUAAUACAUGCAAGUCGAGGGCCUAGCAAUAGGACCGGCGCACGGGUGCGUAACACGUAUGCAACCUGCCUGUAUCUGGGGGAUAGCCCGAGGAAACUCGGAUUAAUACCGCAUAGUAUAACUGAAGAGCAUUUUUUGGUUAUUAAAGAUUUAUCGGUUAAAGAUGGGCAUGCGGCUGAUUAGGUAGUUGGUGAGGUAAUGGCUCACCAAGCCAACGAUCAGUAGGGGGUCUGAGAGGAUGUCCCCCCACACUGGUACUGAGACACGGUCCAGACUCCUACGGGAGGCAGCAGUGGGGAAUAUUGCACAAUGGACGAAAGUCUGAUGCAGCAACGCCGCGUGGAGGAUGACACAUUUCGGUGCGUAAACUCCUUUUAUAUAGGAAGAUAAUGACGGUACUAUAUGAAUAAGCACCGGCUAACUCCGUG
rnacentral:rRNA from 1 species